UGGCAUUUCCUAAUGCAACUUGCAUCUAUCU
rnacentral:piRNA from 1 species